GGAAGAAGCGCGUGGGGCGGGGCGCAAAGCAUUGUGGGCUUUGGGCGGGUUCCGUGGUUCCCGGGCACUGCCCGCGGACCCGGAAGGAGCUGGCGACCCCGCCUCUGCCCCCCACCCACAGCACUGUUCCGCGUCCACUAUAGGCGCUCGGUUCCUGGGGGCAACGAGACGGACCCGCCGUGGUUCAGGCCUCUGGGGACUCGAAUCCCAAGCGGAGCCUGGCGAGAGCACGUCCGCUCAGAGGGGACCGUGCGCCUAGCAGGUGCGGGGCGUGCUCCAAGCGCUGGAAAAAGCACGCACGCGUGCCCUCGGCAGUGACCCUCCUCAGAGCUCCUGACCUGGUGCUGACCUCUCUCCUGACCUCCAGGCCCCCUUUUGGACGUCUGAGGCACAGCUCCAUGGGUAUGUACAGAACCCUGCCUCCCCUCACUGCCUGCCUUCUCUGGCUCUGUUAAGGCCACUCCAUGCUUCGAGGCUCAGACCUUGAAGCCACCCUGCCUUCUCUCAUUCCCCACACCCAGUCCUGGAGCAAAUCCCGUUGGCUGUCCCUUAAAAGUAUCCCUGGGGGAAGCUCAGUCAGUUGGGCGUCUGUGUCGCCUUCCCCCCAUCCUGCCUCUCUGCCCCUCCCCCGCUCAUGCACUCUAAAAUGGAUAAAUCUUUUUAAAUAAAUAGGUAUCGAGAACUGUACUUGACCCACUCCAGACCACCACCCUGAUCCUGUUGUAGAUUUCAAAAGACUAGAAGAAAUAGUAAGUAAAUGCAAUGCAAAAUAAAAAUAAGUAUAACAAGACACUUGGAGAACAACUGGGGAAAGUAGAAUGGGUCAUGAUCCUAGAUGCUGUUAUGGAAUAUGAUUGUUCACUUUGGGCCUGAUGCUGGCCUUGAGCCGUGGAGAGUGUUGGUUUUUCUUAGAGAGGCAAGCUGGCAGGUAUUUAGACGUGAGGUGUCAUGAGGAGGCCUGCAGCUAUUAAAUCAGGUGGUUUUUAUAAAUGAGAGCGCAAGUAAAGGUGCAAAAGGUGAAUCCA